UACGGGGGGGGCAAGCGUUGUUCGGAAUUACUGGGCGUAAAGGGCUCGUAGGCGGCCAACUAAGUCAGACGUGAAAUCCCCAGGCUCAACCUGGGAACUGCGUCUGAUACUGGAUGGCUUAAAUCCGGGAGAGGGAUGCAGAAUUCCAGGCGUAGCGGUGAAAUGCGUAGAUAUCAGGAGGAACACCUGCGGUGUAGACGGCUUACUGGACCAUAACUGACGCUGAGGCACGAAAGCGUGGGUAGCAAACAGG
rnacentral:rRNA from 1 species